GACGAACGCUGGCGGCGUGCUUAACACAUGCAAGUCGAACGGAAAGGCCCUGCUUUUGUGGGGUGCUCGAGUGGCGCACGGGUGAGUAACACGUGAGUAACCUGCCCUUGACUUUGGGAUAACUUCAGGAAACUGGGGGUAAUACCGGAUAGGAGCUCCUGCUGCAUGGUGGGGGUUGGAAAGUUUCGGCGGUUGGGGAUGGACUCGCGGCUUAUCAGCUUGUUGGUGGGGUAGUGGCUUACCAAGGCUUUGACGGGUAGCCGGCCUGAGAGGGUGACCGGCCACAUUGGGGCUGCGGGACGGCGCAGACGCCUACGGGAGGCAGCAGUGGGGAGUAUUGCACAAUGGGCGGAAGCCUGAUGCAGCAGCGCCGCGUGCGGGAUGACGGCCUUCGGGUUGUAAACCGCUUUCGCCUGUGACGAAGCGUGAGUGACGGUAAUGGGUAAAGAAGCACCGGCUAACUACGUG
rnacentral:rRNA from 1 species